ensembl:misc_RNA Metazoa_SRP Metazoan signal recognition particle RNA
UCCAGGUGGGGCGCGGUGCCAAGUGCCUGUAGUCCCAGCUACUCAGGAGGGUGAAGCGAGAGGAUGCCUUGAGUCCAGGAGUCCUGGGCUGUAGGGUACUGCGCAGAUCAGGUGUCUGCACUAAGUUCAGCUUCAGCAUGGUGACCUCCCAGGAGUGGGGAACCACCAGAUUGCCUGAGGAGGGGUGAGCCAGCCCAGGUUGGAAACACAGCAGGUCACAAUUCCCAUGCUCAUCAGUAGUGGGAUUGUGCCUGUAAAUAGCCACUGCACACCAGCCUGGGCAACAUAACAAGACCCCACCUCU